CUUGCUUGUAGGUGUUAGCGAAGUCAACGGAGGCGUAGACUUUGGCUUUUUUGCCAUUUUGGUGCAAUGGCGGCAGAGGGGGGUCUCAAGACGAGGCGCAAGCAGUGUGCCCGAAGGAAGGGUGCGGCACACAUGGGGGCAUUAGGGUUUAGGUUUUUUCUGAAUUAGUUUAGGUUAUUGGGCUAUGGUUGAUUUGGUUUUGGGCCAUAUUGGGCCAUUGGAAAUUUGGUUUAGUAGUUUAAUUUUUUGUAAUUGGACUGUGGACAUUGGGCUUUGGUUGUUAUUUUGGUUUGGUUUGCUUGUCUAGAUUGGGCCCGGGCAAAUUUGGUCGUGUACAAAUACAUCUGGAUAUUCACACACAACUAGCAUAGAUUCAAUCUUCUUUUAAGUCACUUUUGUAUCAACAACAUAUGCAAAGUAAGUUUCAUACCCUUUUCUCAGAUAACUCUGAGCUUUCAUUGACGAAAUCACAGCGGGCAACCCAUUCAGAUCAUUUGACUCAAUCCGGAUAAUCUCAUUAUUCUGACAUCUCAAAUCGAUCGUCUUUCGUUUGCAUUUCAC
rnacentral:lncRNA from 1 species